GUGCUGGAGAGACAGUACAAGAAGAAAGGGUUUUGCUUCCUGGUUCUGGUGUGCAAGCUGGGCAGGUGCUUACAGCACAGGUGGCAAUCAGCACCCAGCAGCCAGCAGCUUCCUCCGGGACCCCCCUUCAGUGUUUCUGGAGCUGUGCUCUUGAUGAGACAUCUCCCUGAAAAGCUUUCCCUGGCACCCCAGAGAAUGGAUUUCUGAUAGUUGCUGGAAAUUUCUGCCAUUCUUAAACAAAGCAUCUUUGUGCUGUAUCAGCUUGCAUUUUCCUUGGAUUGUAUUUGGAUGAUGCCUUUUCACUGACUUCAGCACUGGAGUAUUGUAGCCAUGGCUUUAAACCCUGGAUCUGUUUGUGGCAACAGUGGACCCAGCUGCAGGUGGCAUACAGGAUUUCCCAACCUCCAUGGCAGCUGAGGGUGAUGAAAGAGGAGUAACUUACCAGCUGCCAGAUGUGUCGAUGUCAUUUAAUUCUUAUGCCACCUCUAUGAGGUUGAAUAUUACCUUUAAGGAAACAACAGCGGGGGCCGGCCCCUUGGCACAGUGGUAAAGUUCGCAUGCUCUGCUUUGGUGGCCUGGGGUUUCGCCGGUUUGGAUCCUGGGCAUGGACACAGCACCGCUCAUCAGGCCACGCUGAGGUGGUGUCCCACAUGCCACAACUAGAAGGACCCACAACCAAAAUAUGCAACUAUGUACUGGGGGGAUUUGGGGAGAAAAAGCAGAAAUAAAAAAAAAUAAGAUUGGC
rnacentral:lncRNA from 1 species